rnacentral:rRNA from 1 species
CUACGUGCCAGCAGCCGCGGUAAUACGUAGGGCGCGAGCGUUGUCCGGAAUUAUUGGGCGUAAAGAGCUUGUAGGCGGUUUGUCGCGUCUGCUGUGAAAGGCCGGGGCUUAACUCCGUGUAUUGCAGUGGGUACGGGCAGACUAGAGUGCAGUAGGGGAGACUGGAAUUCCUGGUGUAGCGGUGGAAUGCGCAGAUAUCAGGAGGAACACCGAUGGCGAAGGCAGGUCUCUGGGCUGUAACUGACGCUGAGAAGCGAAAGCAUGGGGAGCGAACAGGAUUAGAUACCCUGGUAGUCCAUGCCGUAAACGUUGGGCACUAGGUGUGGGGGACAUUCCACGUUUUCCGCGCCGUAGCUAACGCAUUAAGUGCCCCGCCUGGGGAGUACGGCCGCAAGGCUAAAACUCAAAGAAAUUGACGGGGGCCCGCACAAGCGGAGGAACAUGUGGUUUAAUUCGAUGAUACGCGAGGAACCUUACCCGGGCUUGAAC